rnacentral:ncRNA from 1 species
AACUCCGAAUGCCAUAUACUUGUAUCACGGCAGUCAGACUGCGAAUGAUAAGAUCCGUAGUCAAAAGGGAAACAGCCCAGACCAUCAGCUAAGGUCCCAAAGUGUAAGUUAAGUGGAAAAGGAUGUGGGAUUUCUAAGACAACUAGGAUGUUGGCUUAGAAGCAGCCACUCAUUUAAAGAGUGCGUAAUAGCUCACUAGUCAAGAGAUCCUGCGCCGAAGAUGUCCGGGGCCCAAACUUACCACCGAAGCUAUGGGUGUACACUAUGUGUACGCGGUAGGGGAGCUUUCUGUAUGGGUUGAAGUCGUACCGUAAGGAGUGGUGGACUGUACAGAAGUGAGAAUGCUGGAAUAAGUAGCGAGAAAUAAGUGAGAAUCUUAUUGGCCGAAAACCUAAGGUUUCCUGGGGAAGGCUCGUCCGCCCAGGGUUAGUCGGGACCUAAGCCGAGGCCGAAAGGCGUAGGUGAUGGACAAUCGGUUGAUAUUCCGAUACCACCUAUUUACGUUUGAGAGAUGGGGUGACGCAGUAGGAUAAGAUGUGCGAACUAUUGGAUGUGCGUCUAAGCAUUUAGGCAUGCUUGAUAGGCAAAUCCGUCAGGCUAAGCUGAGAUGUUAUGGGGAGCCAAAUGUGGCGAAGUAUCUGAUUCCACACUGCCAAGAAAAGCCUCUAUCGAGUAAAUAGGUGCCCGUACCGCAAACCGACACAGGUAGGUGAGGAGAGAAUCCUAAGGCCAUCGGAAGAAUUGCUGUUAAGGAACUCGGCAAAUUGACCCCGUAACUUCGGGAGAAGGGGUGCCU